AUGAACGCUAGCGGCAGGCUUAACACAUGCAAGUCGAGGGGCAGCGCGGUGUAGCAAUACACUGGCGGCGACCGGCGAAAGGGUGCGUAACGCGUGAACAAUCUGCCCGUAUCCGGGACAUAAGCGAUGGAAACGUCGUCUAAUUUCCCAUAACAACAGGAGCCGCAUGACUCCAGUUUGAAAGAUCCGUCGGAUACGGAUGAGUUCGCGAGACAUUAGCUAGUCGGCGUGGUAACGGCACACCGAGGCAACGAUGUCUAGGGGUUCUGAGAGGAAGGUCCCCCCACACUGGAACUGAGACACGGUCCAGACUCCUACGGGAGGCAGCAGUGAGGAAUAUUGGUCAAUGGGCGCAAGCCUGAACCAGCCAUGCCGCGUGCAGGAAUGGAACGGCCCUAUGGGUCGUAAACUGCUUUUGUGGUGGAGCAAUAAGGCGUACGCGUACGUCGAUGAGAGUACAUCACGAAUAAGCAUCGGCUAACUCCGUGCCAGCCGCCGC
rnacentral:rRNA from 1 species